rnacentral:rRNA from 1 species
UACGGGGGGGGCAAGCGUUGUUCGGAAUUACUGGGCGUAAAGGGCUCGUAGGUGGCCAACUAAGUCAGACGUGAAAUCCCUCGGCUUAACCGGGGAACUGCGUCUGAUACUGGAUGGCUUGAGGUUGGGAGAGGGAUGCGGAAUUCCAGGUGUAGCGGUGAAAUGCGUAGAUAUCUGGAGGAACACCAAUGGCGAAGGCAGCACUCUGGGACGUGACUGACGCUGAGACGCGAAAGCGUGGGGAGCAAACAGG